rnacentral:rRNA from 1 species
GUGAAAACUCUUUCUGGCUUUGCCAGGUCGGCGGCGGCGGCGCCUACGGGCGUCGUAUCCUUCUUGAAGGCGUCGCCGUGGUUCCUCUUCCUCCUCCGUGUUGCUCCGAGGGAAACCUCGAUCCCUGGAUCAGGCGGUGGCGGUACUUAGGUGCCAUGACCUUGUUGAAGGCUCCGCCUUGGAGUAAUCGGUUCGUCGUGCACAGCUCCGACUCUUC